GUGCCAGCAGCCGCGGUAAUACGUAGGUCCCGAGCGUUGUCCGGAUUUAUUGGGCGUAAAGGGAGCGCAGGCGGUCAGGAAAGUCUGGAGUAAAAGGCUAUGGCUCAACCAUAGUGUGCUCUGGAAACUGUCUGACUUGAGUGCAGAAGGGGAGAGUGGAAUUCCAUGUGUAGCGGUGAAAUGCGUAGAUAUAUGGAGGAACACCAGUGGCGAAAGCGGCUCUCUGGUCUGUCACUGACGCUGAGGCUCGAAAGCGUGGGUAGCGAACAGGAUUAGAUA
rnacentral:rRNA from 1 species